rnacentral:rRNA from 1 species
UACGGAGGGUGCAAACGUUGCUCGGAAUUAUUGGGCGUAAAGCGCACGUAGGCGGUCCAGCAAGUCGGGUGUGAAAGCCCUCGGCUUAACCGAGGAAGUGCAUUCGAAACUACUGGACUUGAAUACUGGAGAGGAUCGCGGAAUUCCCGGUGUAGAGGUGAAAUUCGUAGAUAUCGGGAGGAACACCAGUGGCGAAGGCAGGUCUCUGGGCAUUAACUGACGCUGAGGAGCGAAAGCAUGGGGAGCGAACAGG